rnacentral:tRNA from 1 species
GCUGAAAUAGGCUAACCGGUUAAACCUAACCAUUCAUACUGGUUUAUAGUGGGUUCGAGUCCCGCUUUCGGCU